CAAAGAAGCAAGCCCGUAGGUCUCUAUAGCUCAGGUCCAGCCCUGGACUCAGAAUUCCACUGUGCUAUGUAUGGAACAAGUGGCAGGUACCUAGGUGGUAAAGAGUAUUCUGUCUAGAAGUGGGGACCCCUGCGUGUCCAUUCUAGUGCUGGUCUAACUAGCUUUGGGUAUCUGAGCUAGUCAGUGAUUGGUGGGAAACGAUUUUCCUCAACAUGUAAUCUAUCUCAACAUGCAGUGGCCAACACUGUGAGUGCUCUUCCGAAUUAUUUAGCCCGUGCCCUCCCACAGCCUUUGCCCAGGGUCUGCAGUCGGCCUCUGGCCCAGGAAAAGGGUUAGGCCUUCCUCUUCUCACUCCUCUGUACCUUAGAGCACAGCAGAUGCAGUCGGAUUCCUGGGACACAUUACAGGAACGGAUGCCCCAGGGAGCUUUGCUAUGAUCCCAUCCCUGUAGAUGAUGGCUCGAAUCCACCAUCAAAUUGGGUAUUAUCAUAUAAUCAUUUCUUUGAAAAGCUUCAGAAUCAUCAUUAGCACAGGGAGCAAAUUAAAUGGCAUGCCAGCAGGGAUUCCACCACUGAUAAACUGAAGUGAAAUUAAACUUUAAAAAAAUUAACUGUAUGAAUAUCACAUUAUAAUGAUCACACCUACUCAUGGAGCCAACAAGGACUGGGUAGAAAUGAAGAAUUCAGACAUCCAGACGGUACCUCUAGAGAGACCACAUGAGCUUGCCUGUUGGCGCUAAAGAAGCUGAGGUCUCUGAGAAGCCACCAGACCAGGAGCUGAGUCUUUCAAAUAUCUGGGGAGCCUGUUUUCGUUUUCCUCCAAACCACCAAACAGGCGAUCAAAUUGGCCUGUUUACACCACUUUUCAAUGGACUUGGCUUUGGUUAAUGAAAACAAGAACACCUACAUCAAUAACAGCAGGCUGUUGCACAACCUCUACCUGAAGCCUCUCCAGCACCUGUGGACAGUCCCGCUCUAGUCCCGAGCCUGCACUGCUUCUGUUCUCUUUGCUCCCCUGUUUAGGCUUCCAGUGGCUUCUGUCUUGAAAUAAAGGGAGCAUGCUUGCAA